rnacentral:rRNA from 1 species
UACGUAGGGUGCGAGCGUUAAUCGGAAUUACUGGGCGUAAAGCGUGCGCAGGCGGUUUUGUAAGCCAGAUGUGAAAUCCCCGGGCUUAACCUGGGAAUGGCAUUUGGGACUGCAAGGCUGGAGUGUGGCAGAGGAGACUGGAAUUCCUGGUGUAGCAGUGGAAAUGCGUAGAUAUCAGGAGGAAUACCGAUGGCGAAGGCAGGUCUCUGGGCUGACACUGACGCUCAUGCACGAAAGCGUGGGGAGCAAACAGG